rnacentral:rRNA from 1 species
UACGAGAGGCCCAACCGUUAUUCGGAUUUACUGGGCUUAAAGAGUUCGUAGGCGGUGCAGAUAGUGGGGUGUGAAAGCCCUCGGCUCAACCGAGGAAUUGCGCUCCAAACUCCUGUACUCGAGGAAGCUAGAGGUGAGCAGAACUGAUGGUGGAGCGGUGAAAUGCGUUGAUAUCAUCAGGAAUACCGGAGGCGAAGGCGGCUCACUGGGGCUUUUCUGACGCUGAGGAACGAAAGCCAGGGUAGCGAACAGG